UUUUCUUUUUUCCUUUUCUUUUCUUUUUCCUUUUUCUUUCUUUUCCCUAUUUCCUUCUUCCUCCCCGUGCGUCCUUCCCCUUCUCCCCAGCCGCAAUCGCCGCCCCUAUUCUCCUUCCUCCCGUGCGCCGCGACGACCCCACCGUCUCCUUCCCCUUCUCUUCCGUUCGCAGCAGCCGUCGGCCGCCGCGUCUCCCCUACUGAAGUCGAGCGCCGCGACCUCCAUUCCGAUCUGCUGUCUCCAUCUCUGUUCGCGAAGCAAGACCGCGCCGCUGCCAGUCCAGAUCUGCGUUGCAGUCGUCCCGCGCGCCGAUCUGCCGUCUCCAUCUCCGUUCGCGAAGCAAAACCGCCGCCGCUCGCCGAACCCAACCGCCACCCUCUCUUUUCUCCUUCGGAUCGAAACCGCCGCGCCCAUCCACCUGUAACUGCCGCGCAACCUUCAUUCCAACCGUUGCACUGCCGCGCGAUUCUCCGGCCACGUCUCCUUUAGCCGACCGCUGACCGACCCACACUUAGGAUUUUGCUGCGAGUUCGACAGUCGUGCGUUGAGGUGUUGGGAGUAACCUUGGGCUCCCUUAAAUUCACAACCAAUUUGUGAAUUGUUGAGGGUUCAGUUCGCCAGUAUUUCGGAUUUGAUUCAUUGGAUUUAGUAGAUUGAAGAAUUUGCAUAGAAAUCGAGGUAA